rnacentral:rRNA from 1 species
AUCAACUUUCGAUGGUAGGAUAGAGGCCUACCAUGGUGGUAACGGGUAACGGGGUGUUAGGGCACGACACCGGAGAGGGAGCCUGAGAAACGGCUACCACAUCCAAGGAUGGCAGCAGGCGCGCAAAUUACCCAAUCCCGACACGGGGAGGUAGUGACAAUAAAUAACAAUACGGGGUUCUUUCGGAUUUCGUAAUUGGAAUGAGUACAAUUUAAAUCUCUUAACGAGGAACAAUUGGAGGGCAAGUCUGGUGCCAGCAGCCGCGGUAAUUCCAGCUCCAAUAGCGUAUAUUAAAGUUGUUGCAGUUAAAAAGCUCGUAGUUGAAUUUCGGGAUCAAAUUGUCGGUCGUGCCUCGGUACGUACUGGCGUUAUUGGUUCCUCCCUUCUGAAGAACCGCGAUGUCAUUAAUUUGGUGUCGCGGGGAAUCAGGACUGUUACUUUGAAAAAAUUAGAGUGUUUAAAGCAGGCUCGCGCUUGAAUACAUUAGCAUGGAAUAAUGAAAUAGGACGUUUGAUUCUAUUUUGUUGGUUUCUAGGAUCGACGUAAUGAUUAAUAGGGAUAGUUGGGGGCAUUAGUAUUCAAUUGUCAGAGGUGAAAUUCUUGGAUUUAUUGAAGACUAACUACUGCGAAAGCAUUUGCCAAGGAUGUUUUCAUUAAUCAAGAACGAAAGUUAGGGGAUCGAAGACGAUCAGAUACCGUCGUAGUCUUAACCAUAAACUAUGCCGACUAGGGAUCGGAUGAUGUUAAUUUUUUAAUGACUCAUUCGGCGCCUUACGGGAAACCAAAGUGUUUGGGUUC